UACGUAGGGUGCGAGCGUUGUUCGGAAUUACUGGGCGUAAAGGGCUCGUAGGCGGCCAACUAAGUCAGACGUGAAAUCCCUCGGCUUAACCGGGGAACUGCGUCUGAUACUGGUUGGCUUGAGUGUGGGAGAGGGAUGCGGAAUUCCAGGUGUAGCGGUGAAAUGCGUAGAUAUCUGGAGGAACACCGGUGGCGAAGGCGGCAUCCUGGACCAUUACUGACGCUGAGGAGCGAAAGCCAGGGGAGCAAACGGG
rnacentral:rRNA from 1 species